rnacentral:tRNA from 1 species
UAAGAUUAAGUUCUUAGAACAUCUUAUUUACAAUAAGGUAGAGAAUUAAUUAUUCAAUCUUAA